UACGGAGGGUGCGAGCGUUACUCGGAAUUACUGGGCGUAAAGCGCGCGUAGGCGGCUUUUCAAGUCAGGGGUGAAAUCCCACGGCCCAACCGUGGAACUGCCUUUGAAACUGUAGAGCUUGAGUGUCGGAGAGGGUGGCGGAAUUCCAGGUGUAGGAGUGAAAUCCGUAGAUAUCUGGAGGAACACCGGUGGCGAAGGCGGCCACCUGGACGACAACUGACGCUGAGGUGCGAAAGCGUGGGUAGCAAACAGG
rnacentral:rRNA from 1 species